CAAAAACUUGAGACGAUAUUAAAGGUACAGAUUUGUUCAACGAUUACAUAUUCAUAUGUCCGAACAAUGAGUUCCCAUCAUCUACGCUACAACAAUCAUUUGUAGGUAGUAUAAUUCUAGUCAACAGCGGAUAGAACAUUGCAUUUGCUUAGUAAUCACAAACUAUACUGUCAUGUUUUACUCUCAACUUAAUUCAUGCAACUCUGUUUGACAUAUGCAAUAUCCAGUUUGUUUCCCAUGUUGUCUUGAACCUGCAUGCCAUGAUGAGGAGUUUGUUUAACAGAUGUCACCUUUAACUGAUAGACGGUCUUCAGUUGCUCCAAUAACUUCCAAGAAUGCAAACUCAGAAACCAAAGCCAAGUGAUCACUACCCAAUUUCUUGUAGGGAAGACCACCUGUUUUCUUCAAGACAUUAAUUGGUAAAGUAUCUAAAACUUUUGUGGGUGCAAGACCAUCAGAAUACCACAAAUAGUCAACAGUUCCCAGAAACUUCGAGUGGAAAGAUGUGGCUAAUGGUUCACCACUGUUAUCCCUUGUUGUUAGAGGUCCCUUCACCAUCGCAUAAGAACUAUUUAGCUUCAAAGGGUGCAUAGCUAUGUGGGAUUUAAGGGCACCAAUCGCAACAUUUAUCUCCUCAUCGCUCCAUCGAGAAUUAAAAAAUCUGUCCAUUAAAACAAACAAAAUCCCCUUUUCUCUUCUCAGACCAAGAACUUGAGAGGGAUGGCAUAGUCUCUGACCAGAUAACUCUUUUCGGUUAUGUAGCAUUAGAUUGAGCUCGGAUGAUGACAAGAAUUUGUAGAUUGGACUCUGGGGAGUACUAUUAUAAUCACCUGCAAGCACAAUAGGUACAUGGUCCCACUUUUCUGAAAGUAUGUGUGCCCUUGAUGCAAGAAAACGAAUUUGACCAAGCUUAACAUCUCCGCGGUUUGGAUUAUAUAACACAUGAAUGUUCCCAACUACGAGCCUCCUUGACUUGGCUUCACGCAUCUCAAAAACAGAGAGUUGAGCAACAUUAUCCCGAAGCCCAUGCUGCCUAAAUUCAACGCUUUCACCCUCUAACAACUGAAACUUAUCAGCCUUCCAAAACAUAGCACAACCAUCAACAGAACCACCAGUGCGCCUCUUAUAGGAGCCGAGAUAUCCAGCUUUCUCCAAAAUGUUUAGUAGAUCAUUGUACUUGUCCACCUCUUGUAGGCAAAUUAUAUCAGGAUUCAAUCCAAGGAGUUCUUCACAAAUAACUCUUCUACGGUGAUCCCAAUCUAAGUAAGCUGGGGGAACAUUUCUGUAUAG
rnacentral:misc_RNA from 1 species